rnacentral:misc_RNA from 1 species
AACUUUUAGCAACGGAUCACUUGGCUCUCGCAUCGAUGAAGAACGCAGCGAAAUGCGAUAUGUAAUGUGAAUUGCAGAAUUCAGUGAAUCAUCGAAUCUUUGAACGCACCUUGCGCCCUUUGGCUAUUCUGAAGGGCAUGCCUGUUUGAGUAUCAUGAACACCUCAACUCUCAUGGUCCGCCAUGAUGAGCUUGGACUUUGGGGGUCUUGCCGGCCUAGUGUCGGCUCCUCUCAAAUGGAUCAGCUUGCCAGUGUUUGGUGGCGUCACAGGUGUGAUAACUAUCUACGCUUGUGGUUUUCUGCCAUAUAACCUUCAGUGAUGGAGGUUCUCUGGAGCUCACAGAUGUCUCUCCUUGGGGAGGACAGCUUUUGAACGUUUGAUCUCAAAUCAGGUAGGACUACCCGCUGAACUUAAGCAUAUCAAUAAGCGGAGGCU